GAUGAACGCUAGCGGCAGGCCUAAUACAUGCAAGACGAACGGUAACUUUGGUAGCAAUAUUGAAGCAAGAGUGUCGUAAGGGUGCGUAACACGUAUGCAAUCUGCCCUCAACAGGAGGAUAGCUCCCCGGAAAGGGGAAUUAACACUCCAUAAGAUCAUGGUGUGGCAUCACACAGUGAUUAAAACUACGGUGGUUGAGGAUGAGCAUGCGCAUGAUUAGUUAGUUGGCGGGGUAACGGCCCACCAAGACGAUGAUCAUUAGGGGAACUGAGAGGUUGAUCCCCCA
rnacentral:rRNA from 1 species